UGAUGAAUACAAGUGUGCUCAUUACACGAGACUGCAGUUGGAACAAAUCAAGGAGGAAUUGUGUCAAUAUUUUAUUGAGAAAAGAUUAAUUAGUAUAUAAUGGUUUCAAAAUAACAUGAAUACUUUGAUGAAGAAUGGUUUCUGGUUGGCAAGUGUAUAGUUCUUUAUAUUUUUAACAGAUUAGUUAUGACUCCAAAUAGGCCGUAUAACAUAUUAGUUUUGACUUGUGUAUAGUUCUUUAUAAUUUUAGUGAUAUCUUUAAUUUCAUGGAUAGAUUAAUGUGUUCAUUCUUGUGUUGGUUUGCUUUAAAAAAUUACAAAUGCUUGAAUUA
rnacentral:lncRNA from 1 species